AUCAUUAGUGCGAUGGGAAAAUGGUGAAGAGAUCUCCUGAAGAUUUGGGGGAAGAAAACUGCAAGCAAAAUUUGGUGGAGAGUCAGGCUUUGGUCGAGCCACCCUAUAUAUAGUAAAUGAAGGAAGAUAGUGAAGCUUGAAGUCAAAUAAUUGCGUGUGCACAAAGGAGUUACGUUUUUGCCUGUGUGUCUCUCAGAUUUACACUUAUAGUAUUUUAAAGUAUAUUAAAGUAUAAAUGGAUAUGAAAUCAUUAAAUAUGUUACU